CCCCGCCCACCGCCGCGGGAGCGCGCACGUCCGCCCGCCUCCCUCGCGGCCUCGGGGCGAGCGUGCGCGCCGCCGGCUGCGUGCCCUGCCCUCGGGGCUGCUCGCGCUGCUCCGCGGGGCGUGUGAGAGGCGGGGCUGCUGUGCCGGCGGCGGAGGCUCCCUCCCCGCUGAGGAAUCCGCGUCUCUUACUGCCUUGGGCCUUGUGCAUCCCUGUUUGACCUUCGUGAACUCUGACUCAGUGACCGCAGUCGCCUCAGUAGCGACUGGGAGGUUUGCCCCUAGGCUCUCCGCUGUAGGCCGGUCCCCACCCAGGUUCCUGGUGUUUUCGGGGGAGAGUGAAAGAGCAAGGGAAAGACAGAGAAACAUCCAUGUGAGAGAAACACAUCAACUGCCCUGACCAGGGCCCAGGCCAGGGAGAAGCCUACAACCAAGCACUAAAGUCUGAAGUGAGAAGCUGCCGCUAAUCCCACCCACCUACAUAGCGGGACACAUCAAAAAGGUGAUGCCCUACCUGAGGGUGGCUGCCUCAAUAUUUGAAAAGAAGCCCUUGGAAUAAGAAUUGGGGAAACUCCUCAUUAGAGAAUGACAAAGCUUAAAAAAAAUCUCAAAACAUCAUCUUGCCCAGCCCCUCAUCAUACAGACAAGAAAACUGAUGCCCAGAGAUUGGUAGUGAUUUAUUUAUUUGUUUGUUUCAUUUAUUGGGGUGACAUUGGUUAAUAAGACCAUACAGUUUCAAGUGUACAACUCAAUAAAACUUCAUCUGCAUACUGCAUCAUGCACUCACCACCCAAAGUCAAGUCACUUUCCGUCCCCAUUUUCCCAUUUGCUCACUUCUACCUCCCGCCACCCCGCUUUCCCUUUGGCUAUCACCAUGCUGUUGUCCGUGUCUAUGUGUCAUAUAUAUAUUUUGCUUAAUCCCUUUAGUUUUGUUUUGUUUUUUUUACCCAACCCCCUGACCCCCUUAAACAAAGUCUGCGAUAGGACAGGUUUAGGAACAAAAUGUGAGUGAGCAUGGUCAGGGGAGGGGAAGGAUGCUAUAACCAGGGACUGAAUUCUCUGUCUCCUUUUUCUUACCUCUGCAGUAGUCUCUCAUGGCACAGACAGGACUGCUUGAGGGCUGUUGGGUGGGAGAGAUAGUCCUAGCCCCGUCCUCCCACCCCCCAGAAUUAGUGAGAACUAGUUGGCCACUGAACACUCUGUAUCCAGCCUGUAUUCUCUCCGGGGCCUCACCCCUCUUCUCCCUCCCAGGUGAGAGUUUCAUCCUGCAGCUUGGAGGAUGGGUUUCUGCACCCCAUAAGCUGCCCCACGAGGCAGGAAAUGCCAGCACUUUCCUUCUCUUUUAGACUUUGUGAGCUCAUUCAGGUAAAAAUUUAAUGCCUAAAUCAGUUAUAGGAAUUUUUAUUUGCUUUCCUUUAUGCUCUAUAGAGUUUUUGAGAAGAGGUGUGGGAAGAGUCACCCGAACCCAUAAUAUCUACUUGUUUUUAAUAUGCAUAAAUAAUAUUGUGUUUUAAAUAUCCUUCCAUUUUUCUUUUUCUUUUUUCACUUAACAUUAUGUUUAAAAUCGAUCUGUGGCCCUGGCCAGCUUGGCUCAGUGGAUAUAGUGUCCGCCUGUGGACUGAAGGGUACAAGGUUUGAUUCAGGUCAAGGGCACAUGCCCGGGAUGUGGGCUUAAUCCCCAGAGGGGGGCAUGUAGGAGGCAGCUGAUCGAUUUUCUGUCUCUCUCUCCCUCUGCCUUCCUCCCUGAAAUCAAUAAAAAUAUAUUUUAAAAAAAUCUAUCUGUGCACUACAUGUAUACCUGGUUUGUUGCUUUUAGUUGCUGCAUUUCUUCCAGUCUGCAUCUACCCUAUUAUGUACCUAUUUUCCUAGUUAAAAUACCUGGGUUGCUUCCACCUCCCUGCUCUCAUGGAAAGAGCUGGAUGAACACUUCUACUAGUAUAUAUGUUCAUGGUAAUAAUCCACAUGACAUUUUUUCUAGGUCAUAUACCAGUGGUUCUCAACCUGUGGGUCGAGACCCCUUUGGGGCUCGAACAACCCUUUCACAGGGGUCGCCUAAGACCAUCGGAAAACACAUAUAUAAUUACAUACUGUUUUUGUGAUUAAUCACUAUGCUUUAAUUAUGUUCAAUUUGUAACAAUGAAAAUACAUCCUGCAUAUCAGAUAUUUACAUUACAAUUCAUAACAGUAGCAAAAUUACAGUUAUGAAGUAGCAACGGAAAUAAUUUUAUGGUUGGGGGUCACCACCACAUGAGGAAC